GACGUAGGGGACGAGCGUUGUCCGGAUUCAUUGGGCGUAAAGCGCACGUAGGCGGCUUUUUAAGUCGGGGGUGAAAUCCUGGAGCUCAACUCCAGAACUGCCUUUGAUACUGGCGAUCUUGAGUCCGGGAGAGGUGAGUGGAACUGCGAGUGUAGAGGUGAAAUUCGUAGAUAUUCGCAAGAACACCAGUGGCGAAGGCGGCUCACUGGCCCGGUACUGACGCUGAGGUGCGAAAGCGUGGGGAGCAAACAGG
rnacentral:rRNA from 1 species